UGGCUCGCUGCCCAGGAAGUGAGUUACUUUCACUUUCAUUCCUCAGCAGACAGCCAGCCUCUCCUCCCCCCACCUAUCCCCCAGCACCUCACCCAACCCAGCCCUGACAGAGGGGAGGGAGGAGAGAGAGAGGGGUGCUCCUGGGGAGGAGGGAGAAAGGAGGGGGUGCUUGCUCUGUGGGGCAGAAGAAUGGAUGUUAUGGGAGACAACAAAGGAUACUGGUUCCAGAGCCACAGCCUCACCUGACCUCAGCAAGGGGGAAAGAGUCACAUUCAGAGGUGACCAUGGAUGAUAUCGCUCUCCUGAGGAUAGCACAGAGAGAUAAAGAAUGGAUGUUGCUUGAA